CCCCCUUCAGAAUUUCCCUUGGAAAAAGUACUAGCUUAGCUGGUCAUUUCUUUGUAAGGUAGUUAGAAAUUUUAAGUCUUUCUUUGGGCAACUUUUUUUUUUUCCUUUUUUUUUCUUUUCUUUUUUUUUUUUUUUAAUGUGAAGAGUUAGGUGAUAUAAAUUUUUUACUGCUUUUAUGUUUUUCUGUCUUGUUUUGAAACCAUGACGGUUACACUUUUGGUUCCUAAAUAAAAUUUAAAACAAUUAACAGCCAAGUCACAAAGAUAAAUGGGUUGCACAUAGACUAAGGAAUAAACUUCAGAUUUGUGAUUUUUGUUUCUAAUCUUGAUGUAAAUUUACACUAUUUAUAAAUACAUAUUUAUUGCUUGAAAAUAUUUGUGAAUGGAAUGCUGUUAUUUUUUCCAGAUUACCUGCCAUUGAAAUUUUAAGGAGUUCUGUAAUUUCAAACACUACUCCUAUUACAUUUUCUAUAUGUAAAUAAAACUGCUUAGCAUUGUACAGAAACUUUUAUUAAAAUUGUUUAAUGUUUAAAGUUUUUCUAUUGUUUGAGUUUUAAAAAGAUUUUAUGUACAGUGCCCAGUUUUUGUUCUUUUUUGAAUCUGAUUAUAUAUAUUUUAUAUAUACUCUUGUGCUUGUGUAUAUAUAUAAUAUAUAUAGAAACUCGAAUAUAAAUAUGUGUAUAAAGAUUUAGAGACUAAAUUUUUCUCGUUUUAAGUUUUACAUCUAUGGUAGAUUUGAGGUGUCUACUGUAAAGUAUUGCUUACAAAAGUAUGAUUAUUUUUAAAGAAAUAUAUGGUAUGUAUCCUCAAGACAUAGAAUGACCUUCAGACUGGUUUAUUGUUAAAUUGCACUUUUUGCAAUAACAGACCAAUAAAUAGUUGCUGCCAAAAUGUAGUAGUAGAAAAUAAGUAACGGCUAAAUUUUAAAGCUCUUUAAGAAAAUACCAACUUUGACAGGAAGUUUGGCACUAGUUUUAGAGGAGGAAUGAAGAUGAUUGAGCUUUGGUGGGGAUGUUCUCUAGAUUUCAACCAAAUUGCAACUUAUAUAUUACAAUAUGUUCUAUUAACAAUUUUAAAAGUUAAGACUGAAUCAUCUUGGCGUCGUUGUUGACCCCAAAAAAGGACGUUGUUUUGUGGUAUUCUAUUGUAUUUUCACAUAUUUUGUAAUACGAAUUCACUGGUAAAUUUUUGAAGCACUAGGUUUAUUUAGGACAAGUUUAUAAUAUAUCAUUGUAACAGUUUGCAGUUUUAAUGAUGGUAUUUAUUUUAAGUUGCUCCUUUCUCAUUAGCUUCUUGAAAAUGCAUUAAAUCUAAAUUUCAAAAUUGAUAGCUUUCUUAUCGAUCAGAGUUGACUGAUGCGGAAGGUUCUGCAUCGAACAGUUUCUCGUAAUUUCUCAUUAGUGGGGUAUGUUAGUGAUUGCAUUGUUCAAUUUUUUGUAAUCAAUGUGAAGUGUUACAGGCACAGAGCAUGCAGAUAGUUCCUUUUGAACAAAAAGAAUCGCCUCUUAUGUUGUAGCUUCAAACAAAGGGUGUUUUAAUGAAGAAUCAGCACAGUUUAUCUAACGCUGUUACAACAGUUUAACCACAGUUAGAGCUGACUUUCUUGCUAGUUCUUACUAGUUGGACAAAAGAGGGUAGAGAUUAAAGAAAAGCAUCAUGAAAUGCUCUUGCCAGCAAAAUUAUCAGCUAGCAGUUAGGAAGCCAGUAUUUGCAGUUCUGUAAAGGUGUAAGUCUCAGCUCUUGAUAACAAACUCUACAAGUCAUAAUUUUUUUUUUACUUAUGUAUUUUAUGCAGUCAUAAAUAUUGUAAUCUUGACAAACCAUGCUGCAACUGAAAAGCUACUCCUUUAAAGUAGUCUUAAACCCAAAUAAAAGCAAGAUACACUUACCUCAACUAAUGGUAAACAGAAGGUCCUCAUUUCUCAGUGCUGUAAAAGAACAUUGCUAAUUAGGGAAAGAGCUACUGUGUGCUAAUCAGAAGGGCUUUGUACCUUUCCUCUCCUUUGGAAAAGAGGAUAUGGCAUUACCAAGGAAGAAUAUUCAGAUUUUGCCGAUGAGCAAGUAGACCAAAUCAGCAGAGCAUCAGGCAGCAUUCCUCAUGCUGUGGGAAGGGUUGUCGUGAAUUGGAAUUGCUGCAGGGCUUUAAUAUUUUGCAGUUUCCAUACUUAAUCACACUCUGCUCCCAGGCAAUGGACAGUUUGGGUCUAUAAGCUGCUAUGAUUUAGAAUGCUUUUGUUUCACUUUAUUAAAAAAAGCACAAGUUAAUAUUUCGU